rnacentral:lncRNA from 1 species
GCCGGGCCGGUCCGUUCCUCCCCUUUUUUUUUCUUUUACCCUUUUCUUUUUCUGUUUUUCUUAUUCCUUUGAUAUCUUUUGAUUUUGAACUCCAAAUUGGUCCAAAUAAAUUCCAGAAAAUUUGUAAAAUCAUGUUCUACCAUGAUACAACUUUUGGGAGUAGUUUCUCCUCAAAAUAAAAUAUAUAAAAAUACAUUUGCCCUAUAAAUGCCUCUAGGCUAUAUAUCUAUUUAAAUAAAAUAUUUUUUCGACUCCAAAUAAUUAUCCAAAAAUUAUGGGAUAGCUUAUAUAUGCAUUAAACCCCUUUUAUACACAGAACCUAUUGGUUUGAAGAUCCAAAGUUCAAAUGGGUGUAAACCCUAAGGUUCAAGUUGAAAUUAAAACUUUUAAAGCCUUUUUGAGAUUCAAAUUUGAAUUCAAACAUGCAAUUGUGGCAUGAUGCUUAUGGAUGCAAUG